rnacentral:misc_RNA from 1 species
ACGUUUCAUAACGUAAAGAUUUUUCUCCGUGUGUCGUCGUGUCGGCUUCGGUCGCGCACGCACACACGAAAAAAUUAAAGGAAAGUCCGAGGGAUACUCUCAGACGCAUUACGGCCUAGGGGGUGGUGCCCCGAACGCCGGUAAAAAAAAGAUUCGCAUGCGUUCGUGUGUUUUGGGCUUGGAGACUGCCACUCUGCCCUCUGCUUCGGCAGGCACCGUGCGCUCGGAUGAAAAGCGGUACCGUCUGUGUUGCAGUCAGGGUUUCCUGCACUCAGAACGCCGCGCGACGAAAGUCAGUAGCCGAUGCACAGUGCGAGUCUAGGGUUCGGCUCGCGUGCUUCGUGUCUUCUGUUCCGGGCUCGCGUCGGCGGAAUGGUCUAAAGUCAGUUUUUUUGUCUGCGCCGCUCACCACGGUCCAUACUCGACGGUCUACUCCAAAGGACGGGCUCGCAACCCGUCUGGACCGGCGAGGAAGGGUCGUUGUUACUGAGGUCCCGGAGAGUUAAGAGAUGCACCUGUAGGCAUGGCGCUGGCGUGCUCUCGAAAAAAAUAAAGACGGUGGCGGACCCCGUACGCUCGCAGGUCAGUCGGAAAAGCUCUGAACUUCCACUCCCUCUUCUGGGAGGGAUAACCUGAGUUAGUACUUUCAGACCGAGUACGUGUCCGUCCCCGCCUCUCACCGGGACUUCGAGUUCACUGUCGUGAAUCUCAAAAACAGAAAAAAACUACUCGGAAGUCCCCCCUAAAAAGUGAGAUGUUUAGGCGAACGGUGGCUAGUAGUCAAUGCUCUUGCGAGCUUUUGCGAACGUCUCCCAGUAGCUUACGUCAAACGUAAAGC